rnacentral:misc_RNA from 1 species
AAGUCGUAACAAGGUUUCCGUAGGUGAACCUGCGGAAGGAUCAUUAACACGUAUCCAAACGUUAAACCCCCCUGUGAACCUUCACCUGUACUCGUACGUCCGUUAGAAAAAGCAGCAAUCCCUGGUAAAUCAUCGCCGAACAGUUUUCGAUUCAGGGAUGUUCACGAUCGUUGGAGGCCCACACGGCCGACGACCGGGUCACUGGGCGCAAGCCCCCCUAUAACAAACGCUGCUAAUCGCGGCCGCGAUAAUACGCAGUCGACCAAAAACCGAACAACUGUUAACAAUGGAUAUCUUGGUUCUC